UGGGGAAUUUUCCGCAAUGGGCGCAAGCCUGACGGAGCAUGACCGCGUGCGGGAGUUGGGCAUUUUGGUUGUAUACCUCUUUUGAUAGGGAAGAAGUUCGGACGGUACCUAUCGAAUCAGCAUCGGCUAACUCCGUGCCAGCAGCCGCGGUAAUACGGAGGAUGCAAGCGUUAUCCGGAAUUAUUGGGCGUAAAGCGUCCGUAGGUGGUUGUUCAAGUCUGCUGUUAAAGCGUGCGGCUUAACCGCAUACCAGCAGUGGAAACUGGGCGACUAGAGUGCGGUAGGGGUCAGGGGAAUUCCCAGUGUAGCGGUGAAAUGCGUAGAUAUUGGGAAGAACACCGGUGGCGAAAGCGCCUGACUGGACCUGCACUGACA
rnacentral:rRNA from 1 species